CUCUGCAUUCACUCUUUGGCUGUUCAGCUACUUGCAAAAGAAAGGUGCAACAUGCCAGACAGAAGUAACUUGUAUUUAAAGAUUAAAAUCUGCUGCCAAUCAGAAUAAUUAUGCUUCAAUUGGAUCAUCUUUACCAUCUGAACUGGACCAUCUGCAAGACAAAGAAUGGUUUGUAGAAAGAACUGCACAGAUGAAAUAAAAUGAAAACCAGCAUCCUUAAAAGUAUAUCUUCUGAAAAGUCAGAUGCCAGUGCAGCUAAUUUGCUCAAGCCAAGAAGUGUUUUCUUCUUUGCAAAAUAUCGAGUCUCCAUGUUUGCUAAAGUCUGCAAGGUCCUGUGAGCCUAAAAUGUAUAAAGAUGUUAGAAACCAGUUUUAGAAUUUAACAUCAGAAGAUUAACAGAUAAAGAUUUAAUCUGAACUGCA